rnacentral:lncRNA from 1 species
UUGCUCAUUUAUCUCUCCUUCCUCGAUGUACCAGUUAAGCUAUAAUUGCAUCAUUUUGAUAAAGGCAAUUUUCCUUUGGAAAAAUGAAAGGUCAUGGAAACAAAAUGCACAGUUAGAAACAAAAUCUACUGCAUGCUUGAGCUUCACCACAAAACAAAACUGCAGGCAAAUGAAACCCAUUUAACUUCCUAGCAGCAGAGAAUUCAAGAAGCCAAAUCAUCAGCCAGAAUCUCUGCAUCAUCAGCGUCCUUCUUAUAAAGUGGAAUUCUCACACCUAGUUCUCUAAGU